AGGACUCCAGCGUGCACCAAAAGGAUUAUUCGGGGAGAUCCUCUGGGUGCCCGGCCCUGGGGAGUUCAAAGCAAUGUCCCUGGAAUGGAUUCAGGCAUUCCUGAGAGUAUCCCAGGUGUACCUGUCCAUGCUAGACGUGGAGCUCUCUAAUGGACUGUAACUGGGUUAUAGAAGUGGUGCUCCAACUGCAAAAGCAGUGUGGGAUUGGGACUAACAACUGAGCAGUGAUGGUACAAUUGGCUGUUUUCUCUUGAAUGUAACUGUAAGAGCUCCAGGAGUGCCAGGUGUGUGUUCCAGUCCCCACCAUUUGGUUUGCACAUGUCCUGCUCAGACACAGGUCCAACUUCCUCAGAGGGAGAAUUAAGGACUGGCGCUAUUAAGGUGAUUGGUGUGACAGGGGUUAAACUGGGAAAACAUUGGGUAAUUCCUCAGUUUCUAUAUUGACCAAACUCACCCAAACCUGUGCUAGGAAGAGAUGGACUGGAGUCUCUGAUCUCCUGGGCAGUUGUUCUGCAUGACCUGGGAGCCUGUGGGAUUAGACUGGACUGGGCAGACAGGGAGCAGUUUGUCCUGUGGAGUUGGGAUGGGUUUGUUCAGAAUGCCUUGGGAGGCAGGGCUGGAGAGGCUGCUCUGUUGGCUGUAGUGGUGGAAGGUUGUAGCAGGAGGGAUGGAGCCUUUGACCUCCUGCUCCCCCCGUGAGCCCCGACGGGACCGUGCACUUGGCAAUGGAGGGCCCCCCAUUGCUGAGUCAGCGGUUCCGGGGGCCAGCAGGGAUGGGAUCAGGAUGCCGAGCUCCGCCCAGGGCCAGGGCUUCAGAUGUUGCACCCAUGGAAAGAACUGAAAGCAGAGUGAGAUGGAGGCCGAGCUCCAGCACAAGGAUGGGUGAGAAAAGACCGUGGUCCUCAGGUGGAGCUUUGAAUUCCCUGGAAAAAUGGAUCCUGUCAAAUGGUUCAGGCCCUUGUGGGUGCUGGAGCAGAGGCCUCUUUAAUUUAUGGUCACCCUAAACAGUUGCAAGGACAGCAAGUUUUGACUGCAGGAUGAGGUGGGAAACCAAGUGAAGUGGUACAGAGAAAAGCUGAGCUUAAAAUUGGUCCUGUGGCAGAGCAGCCCUGUGCAGUGCUUGUUGCUGUCCCUGAGUGUCCCAUUGCAGUGGAUAUUUCCAAGGGCUGCCUUGUGCUGGGGAACACUGGGGGCAGUUCCCUUUCCCUGGGCAGGGCAGGCAGGGCAUGUUUCCCCCCACUCGAGGGUGGCUCCACAGUCCCACCCUCUGCCCUGGGAGCCUGGCAGAACACCUGGAGCCACUGUCCUUGCCAGAGAGGGGACAAGGGAUGGUUGGAUCGAUGAGGGAAUGGUUCAGGGAGUAUAAGCACCAUUAGAACGAGUAGUGCAGGACAUGGAAAGGAAGGGGUGGAGUUAAUCCAGACAAAAUUCAAGCACCUGCCCAACCUGUGAUAUUUUAGGAACUCAGUGGCGUUGUGGUCACCAGGAAGUAUUGCCCAGGACUAGGCAGGAGACUUCAGACUUGGUCACCCCCAGAGCAAGGUGGAGGCCCAGCAGUUUAUUGGUUUGUUUGGGUUCUGGUGACAACAAGGUCCUCCUUUGGGACCAAUCCUUGGCCCAGGCCAUGAAGUCCCAGGACAGAAGUGUGAGUUUGAGUGGGAAAUGAGCAGCAGGGAGGGUUGGAAACAGCUCAGGGAGCAAUUCAACAGGCUCUGGAUCUGUGGCCAAUCUGAGGGGGAACUAAAGGUUCCUGCCAGUGAUAACGAUGCCAAUUAGAGCCUCUGGCAGAAGUAGGGUGGGAAGGAAGCGCCCUUGAGGUUUGGGAAUAGGAAGUUGCUGGAAGCCAGCCCAAGAGAGACCCUGUUGGAGAAGUGGCUCUGAGUAUGUUCUUGGGCUUUAGUGGAAACUUAACAAAUGGUAAGAGGGCCUGAAAUCCCCAUAAGGCCUUGGGUAAAAAGCUCCUCCCAGGACACACAGGCCAGGCCAUGCUCAGGAAGGCAGCAUCAUGAAAUGGAAAUGGUGUAUCCAAGCCAGAGCCAGAGCAGGGGUCGGGGCAGGAGCGAGGCCUCGUGAGGGAGUUGCCAACGGCCCUGUGGUUGAAGCAACAAGUGCAGAUCCCCUGGGCAGUGAGCACGAAUCACUGGGGAAAUGGGGAAAAACCCCAGAGCAAGUGCUGGGAGAAGAGGAGCAUGCAUGGCUCACUGCUGAGUCAACCAAAUCUGUCAGUGGGAAGCACUUUUGGAAAGCAGGAGCUUAUAACCCAUGCCAGAGUGGGUUCAAAAUCACGAUGGGGGGAGGCAAAAGUAGCUCGUGUGCUGAAUGAGACACUGUACCUGUGGGAAUUAAACAGGAAGAACUAGGGCAGUGUCAGAUUUGUAGGGAUUUGGGGUCAGUUGGCAGUGGUUUGGCUACUUGGCUCCCAGCUGUCACCAUCACGGAAUUAGGGAUUAAAUGCAGACAAGGAAAAUGGGAAUAAGUUCCUGUGAAUAAAUAUUAGUGGAGGGAAUGAUAUUGCCAUGUUUUAGCUUGAUAUUUUACAGAAACUGUGGAUCCUGGCCAUCCUCAUAGCCCUUGUGGUCCCUCUGGGCGAUGCUGUUGGCCCCGGGCAGUUCCCUGGAAAAGGUGCCUGGGUGGGGUGACUUGGUUGGAUUUGGAUGGAGAUGGAAAAGCAGCUCCGAAACAGGACACCGGGACAACGUGACCUGGGAAGCAAAUGGACCUUGCCCAGGGGUCAGUGUCACUUUAUGCCUGGGGGGACUCUAUGGAAGGGCCGGGGUCUGUCGGGCUCAUUGUGCAGGCAGCUGUUGGUGCCCCUCAGUGGGAUUGUAUGGAUGUGAUUCCAUGGGCUGGGAGCACUGUUGCCAUACAAUGCUCUAGUUUCCCUUCCGGGGUCCGGGGGGUCUCCCUGGCAUCGUUGUCCCCCUUGUGUGAGUGGUGCCAGUCACAGCCACAAUGUCACAGCAGCGGUGCCUCCCCUGGGCUCUGCCUGCUGGGCUGUUCUGGGGAAGUGCUGCCAAAAGAGCAAAGGGAUCAGCUUGGGCAGGGCAUGGGACAGUUUGGCAUCAUCCUCCCGAGGAGAAUAUUGAUCAGACUGUUGGGUACCUGCUGCCUGUGUCCUGCAGCCCAACAUCAUCAGGAUAAUAGAAUUCCUUUCCCCAUUCUUCUUCCAGUGCUCCCAUCUUGCCCUAGACAGCGAGGCUGGGGGGACACAGGACUGGGAGGAACGGGAGCUGGUAUUGGAUUUGUAGACAGUGGAGACAUGGAAUCGCUUGGUAACCAAUGGCAAAGAGCUGGGCCAGGUGUAUCCCAAGAGCUGAAUUUAGGAGCACAAGGGAUGCCCACUGUAUUUACCCCCCACCCUUCACUCCAGAAUGUGAUGGUGAGUUUGGGCAGCUCUGUAAUGGUUCCCCAAGCUGUAAUUGUUGUGCACAGGGGAACACCACUAACUUAUGAACUGGGCUGAGUACACAUGCCAUAGUGUGUAUAUUGUAAUGCAGAGAAAUGAGGCAAGAACGACUUAAUGAGAACCAGUGAACUGAGCUGGAGGACUGCAUUCACAUCCUGGAUUGCAAAAAUUAACUGGAUUUUGUCUUCUGAAUCGCUGCAGUGCACCAACUGAUAUCAUGCUGGAAAAAUAACACACUUCAAUGUAAGUAAACCAGGGAUUUUUGUAUGUAAAUACAAAAUUAUUGCCCUGCAAAUUUAAAAUAAAACUUGACUUGAUCACCAAAUGCAAACAGUAAAUAUAGGGGUCAAUUAGUGACCUUUGGGCAUCAGGUGGAACAACUCACUGCUCACCACUGGUGGGACAUAUUUACAGGAUUCUCACCACCUGCUACAAAGUUUUAGAACACUUUAAUCCAUCCACUAAUCACAGUCAUUAUACUGAUUUUAUGAACAAUAUGGAGUUGUUGUCUAUGGUAUCAAUUACAAGAAGUUGUUUCUCGUGUGUCUCUGCCCUGCCCAGGGAUCAAAGGACCAAAGGGAAAGGAUGAGAAAUUCCCUGAGAAUUGAGCCCCGGGGCUGCUGCCCCUGAGGAGCAGGGCAGGACCAUUUUCCUUUUGCCUUUCCCAAGUGCUGCCCAACACGGGGAUCCGUGUGCUGGGACAGUGAUUGGCAGGAGGAAGGGGAGCCUUGGCCUCACCUGCCCAGCUCAGGCCAGGACAAAGCCCUGAAUGCAGCCCAGCUCUGCCAAGUGCCUUGGGGUGUGAGCAGCCAAAGGCAAGAGGCUGCAGCCCCG